UCAUUUCUCCUGCAUCUGGAAGAGAAGAGAUGGCAAGAUGUUGGCAUAGCUGUUAAUGUUUAUGGGCCUGCUAUGCCUCCAUAUUGCCAUUUCUGCACUUCCAAUAAAACAUCACCAACUA
rnacentral:precursor_RNA from 8 species